rnacentral:tRNA from 1 species
GCAUUUCAUUAGUUGUUGUAGGAUUCAUUAUAUUUAAGACCCUUAAUCAUUUGUUUUGAGCCAGCGGCUCUUAGCUA